rnacentral:rRNA from 1 species
AUUGAACGCUGGCAGCAGGCUUAACACAUGCAAGUCGAGCGAGCGGCGGACGGGUGAGUAAUGUCUGGGAAACUGCCUGCUGGAGGGGGAUAACUACUGGAAACGGUAGCUAAUACCGCAUACCAUCAGAUGUGCCAAGAGGGGAUUAGCUAGUAGGUGGGGUAAUGGCUCACCUAGGCGACGAGCCCUAGCUGGUCUGAGCGGAUGACCAGCCACACUGGAACAUAGACAAGGUCCAGACUCGUACGGUAUGCAGCAGUGGGGAAGAUUGCACAAUGGGCGCAAGCCUGAUGCAGCCAUGCCGCGAGUGUGAAGAAGGCAGUCGGGUUGUAAAGUACUUUCAGCGAGGAGGCGUUACUCGCAGAAGAAGCACCGGCUAACUCCGUGCCAGCAGCCGCGGUAAUUC